GGGGUAUGAUUCUCGCUUAGGGUGCGAGAGGUCCCCGGUUCAAAUCCUGGUUGAGCCCUCGGUGCUUUGCUCAAUGUUGUGCACCGCCUAGAAAGAUUGAGCUGUUAUUUCGUGAAAUGCUUCAUGAUUCCAUUUGAUAUCCCAUAA